rnacentral:rRNA from 1 species
GCCUACAGCCAUACCACCUCAGGCUGUGAUCGGAUCAACUUUCAUAUGCUAAACAGGAGCAGGCUGUCAGUACUUGGAUGGGAGACCACAGAGGAAAACCCAGAUGCUGCAGGUU